ensembl:lncRNA novel transcript
ACUUUUUCCUCCUGCUGGAGGAGUCUGCGUUGCUUCCUGACCUCUUCAACCCAGGCUUUUUCAUCAUCUGAACUCUCCGAACUUUCUGCAUCACUUGGUUUUCCUUCCGGCUCUUCCUCCUCUUCCUGAGAAUAAAAAUAUGGAUUCAGAAGCCUAAAUUCUUCACUCUCUUCAUCUACUUGGAAGUCAGGGUUCUCAAACAUAACUUUAAAUCGAUCAUCGGUGAGAAUAUUAGGAAGACUCUACAAGGAGGAAAAAGCUUGGAAGCCAGAUGAAACGGCUUACUCAGAAUUGUUUGUCAAUCAGAGUAAACAGCCCUGAACACUGCUGGAAAAAGCUGACCUGUUUGUGAUGGACUCUGACUCUGCUGAACAGACUACUUUACUAUUUCUCCACUGUUGAGAGUAAACAAGAUUGCAGGCAAAUUAAUCCAAGUCAGGUCAUAAAUAAAAACCAAGUGAAGCGCUUUUCAUAGCGAAACAGUCCUAACCCGAGAAUCGGAUGCAGCAGCAUUUCCUACAGUUAACUCCAUGGAUCACUAGUCCCAAGAGAUCUUCUGAGAAAA